UAAUAAGUGUUUUGUGGCACUUUUUAAAUCCAUAUCCACCUUGUGUGCAAUGUCAGUCGAUCUUCUUCAUGGAGAUCGACCAAACAUCAACCUUUAUUUUUAACUCUUUGUCUGAAAAAUAUUAUGAAUAAACAAUUCAAAAUA
rnacentral:misc_RNA from 1 species